GAGCAACAGCGCUGAGGAUUUUAGGGUUUUUUUAUUGAAAACUUUGUUUAGGUUAUUAGGCUUGGGUCAUUAGGAUUUUUUUUUUUGGGGCUUCUAAUUUUGCAAUUGGAUAGUAACAGAUUUUAUUAUUUUAUUUUUGGUUUGUUUUUGUUGGGUCCGGGCUAAAUUGACCUAUUACAUUUACUUGCAUGGAGUUACAGGCGUCCAGGAAGAUGGGUUUUAUCUGGAUUAAGAUCAUGAUAUUGCACUAGUAAACAAGCAUUUAGAUUGCUGAAAGAAGAUUACAAAAUUCCUGGUCAAUGGUAAAGAAAUGAGAAUCGAAAAUAUAUGGUUCAAAUGGAC
rnacentral:lncRNA from 1 species